AGUGAACGCUGGCGGUAGGCCUAACACAUGCAAGUCGAACGGCAGCACGGGAGAGCUUGCUCUCUGGGUGGCGAGUGGCGGACGGGUGAGGAAUACAUCGGAAUCUGCCCAGUCGUGGGGGAUAACGUAGGGAAACUUACGCUAAUACCGCAUACGACCUUCGGGUGAAAGAGGGGGAUCGCAAGACCUCUCGCGAUUGGAUGAGCCGAUGUCGGAUUAGCUAGUUGGCGGGGUAAUGGCCCACCAAGGCGACGAUCCGUAGCUGGUCUGAGAGGAUGAUCAGCCACACUGGAACUGAGACACGGUCCAGACUCUUACGGGAGGCAGCAGUGGGGAAUAUUGGCCAAGGGGUGCAAGCCUGAGCCAGCCAUACCGCGUGGGUGAAGAAGGCCUUCGGGUUGUAAAGCCCUUUUGUUGGGAAAGAAAUCUUUCAGGCUAAUACCCUGGGAGGAUGACGGUACCCAAAGAAUAAGCACCGGCUAACUGCGU
rnacentral:rRNA from 1 species